rnacentral:rRNA from 1 species
UACGUAGAAUGCAAGCGUUAUCCGGAAUUAUUAAACGUAAAGAACUCGUAGACAAUUUGUCGCAUCUGCUGUGAAAACUGGGGGCUCAACCCCCAGCCUGCAGUGGGUACGGGCAGACUAGAGUGCGGUAGGGGAGAUUGGAAUUCCUGGUGUAGCGGUGGAAUGCGCAGAUAUCAGGAGGAACACCAAUGGCGAAGGCAGAUCUCUGGGCCGUUACUGACGCUGAGGAGCGAAAGCAUGGGGAGCGAACAGG